CUCUCUGCUAUAUUUUCUAUCAGGCUUUGCACAGACCUAACUACUAAGGGUAUAAGACACGGCAAGAGUAGACACAACAUUAAAAUCAGUAGGACUCCACCUACCACUGCCUUAAGCCCUCCAAACCACUCAUACCAGCUACCAAACCAACUACUUGGAUUGUACCCUUUCCAUACCUGAGUAGGCACAUGCGCUAGUUUAACCAUAUGGCUAGUAAGCUCAGC